rnacentral:rRNA from 1 species
UACGUAGGGGGCAAGCGUUGUCCGGAAUCAUUGGGCGUAAAGAGCGUGUAGGCGGCCAGAUAAGUCCGCUGUGAAAACUCGAGGCUCAACUUCGAGCUGUCGGUGGAAACUAUUUGGCUAGAGUCCGGAAGAGGAGAGUGGAAUUCCUGGUGUAGCGGUGAAAUGCGCAGAUAUCAGGAAGAACACCCGUGGCGAAGGCGGCUCUCUGGUACGGAACUGACGCUGAGACGCGAAAGCGUGGGAGCAAACAGG